rnacentral:rRNA from 1 species
AUGGUCACUCGUGCUAAGCGUGGCCUCUUCCAACCCGUCGACCCUCUUAAUCUUUCUGUUACUCACUCCACUCCCUCUCCUAUUCGGAAAACAUACCGGGGUGCACUCCAUGACCCACACUGGCGUCGUGCUAUGACCGAGGAAUUUGAUACUCUUGUCACUAACGGGACGUGGUCUCUUGUCCCACGUCCUCCUCGUGCUCAUGUUGUUUCGGGGAAGUGGAUAUUCAAACACAAGUUCCACUAG